AUUGAACGCUGGCGGCAUGCCUUACACAUGCAAGUCGAACGGUAACAGGUCUUCGGAUGCUGACGAGUGGCGAACGGGUGAGUAAUACAUCGGAACGUGCCCGAUCGUGGGGGAUAACGAGGCGAAAGCUUUGCUAAUACCGCAUACGAUCUACGGAUGAAAGCGGGGGAUCUUCGGACCUCGCGCGGACGGAGCGGCCGAUGGCAGAUUAGGUAGUUGGUGGGAUAAAAGCUUACCAAGCCGACGAUCUGUAGCUGGUCUGAGAGGAUGAUCAGCCACACUGGGACUGAGACACGGCCCAGACGCCUACGGGAGGCAGCAGUGGGGAAUUUUGGACAAUGGGCGAAAGCCUGAUCCAGCCAUGCCGCGUGCAGGAUGAAGGCCUUUGGGUUGUAAACUGCUUUUGUACGGAACGAAAAGCCUCUUUCUAAUAAAGAGGGGUCAUGACGGUACCGUAAGAAUAAGCACCGGCUAACUACGU
rnacentral:rRNA from 1 species